CUCAGUACCGUGUAGUCAACCUGCCCUGGAGACAUGGAAAACCCCGGGAAACUGGGAUUAAUCCGUGAUAGGUCAUCUCAUCUGGAAGGAGAGAUGGCUUAAAGGGGUGCGAGAGCUUCUUUCUUGCAUUCGCUCCAGGAUGGGACUGCGGCCGAUCAGGCUGUUGGCGGUGUAAUGGACCACCAAACCUGUAACCGGUACGGGCCUUGAGAGAGGGGGCCCGGAGAUGGACACUGAGAGAAGGGUCCAGGUCCUACGGGGCGCAGCAGGCGCGAAACCUUCGCAAUGCGCGAAAGCGUGACGAGGUUAAUCCGAGUGGUCCCCGCUGAGGGGAUCUUUUGUUGGCUGUAAAAAGGCCGAUGAAUAAGGGGAGGGCAAGUCUGGUGUCAGCCGCCGCGGUAAUACCAGCUCCUCGAGUGGUCGGGGCGAUUAUUGGGCCUAAAGCAUCCGUAGCCGGUUCUGUAGGUCCUCUGUCAAAUCCAACGGCUUAACCGUUGGCCCGCAGAGGAUACCGCAGGACUAGGAGGCGGGAGAGGUGGACGGUACUCGACGUGUAGGGGUAAAAUCCUUUGAUCCGUCGAAGA
rnacentral:rRNA from 1 species